rnacentral:rRNA from 1 species
AGUGAACGCUGGCGGUAGGCCUAACACAUGCAAGUCGAACGGCAGCACAGUAAGAGCUUGCUCUUACGGGUGGCGAGUGGCGGACGGGUGAGGAAUACAUCGGAAUCUACUUUUUCGUGGGGGAUAACGUAGGGAAACUUACGCUAAUACCGCAUACGACCUACGGGUGAAAGCAGGGGAUCUUCGGACCUUGCGCGAUUGAAUGAGCCGAUGUCGGAUUAGCUAGUUGGCGGGGUAAAGGCCCACCAAGGCGACGAUCCGUAGCUGGUCUGAGAGGAUGAUCCGCCACACUGGAACUGAGACACGGCCCAGACUCCUACGGGAGGCAGCAGUGGGGAAUAUUGGACAAAGGGCGCAAGCCUGAUCCAGCCAUACCGCGUGGGUGAAGAAGGCCUUCGGGUUGUAAAGCCCUUUUGUUGGGAAAGAAAAGCAGCAGGUUAAUACCCCGCUGUUCUGACGGUACCCAAAGAAUAAGCACCGGCUAACUUCGUG